rnacentral:sRNA from 2 species
GGUCGCAGGUUCGAAUCCUGCACGACCCACCAAUAUACAAGGUGGUAACUGGUAGAGAACGUGAAGGUUAACGUUGCUUUAGCAACGGCCCGAAGGGCGAGGCGAAGCCGAGUCAUCCUGCACGACCCACCA